CGGAUUGUGAAUCACCAAUGCGCGA
rnacentral:tRNA from 1 species